UACAGAGGUCUCAAGCGUUGUUCGGAUUCAUUGGGCGUAAAGGGUGCGUAGGUGGCGGGGUAAGUCGGAUGGGAAAUCCCGGGGCUCAACCUCGGAACUGCAUUCGAUACUGCUUUGCUUGAGUACUGGAGAGGAGAUUGGAAUUUACGGUGUAGCAGUGAAAUGCGUAGAUAUCGUAAGGAAGACCAGUGGCGAAGGCGGAUCUCUGGACAGUUACUGACACUGAGGCACGAAGGCCAGGGGAGCAAACGGG
rnacentral:rRNA from 1 species